AGUGAACGCUGGCGGUAGGCCUAACACAUGCAAGUCGAACGGCAGCACAGUAAGAGCUUGCUCUUACGGGUGGCGAGUGGCGGACGGGUGAGGAAUACAUCGGAAUCUACUUUUUCGUGGGGGAUAACGUAGGGAAACUUACGCUAAUACCGCAUACGACCUACGGGUGAAAGCAGGGGAUCUUCGGACCUUGCGCGAUUGAAUGAGCCGAUGUCGGAUUGGCUAGUUGGCGGGGUAAAGGCCCACCAAGGCGACGAUCCGUAGCUGGUCUGAGAGGAUGAUCGGCCGCACUGGAGCUGGAACACGGUCCAGACUCCUACGGGAGGCAGCAGUGGGGAAUAUUGGACAGUGGGCGCGAGCCUGGUCCAGCCAUACCGCGUGGGUGGAGGAGGCCUUCGGGUUGUAAAGCCCUUUUGUUGGGAAAGAAAAGCAGCAGGUUGAUACCCCGCUGUUCUGACGGUACCCAAAGAAUAAGCACCGGCUAACUUCGUG
rnacentral:rRNA from 1 species